GGAUUGUAGCUCAGCGGUAGAGGGCCCUCCUAGCACAUGAGAGGCCCUGGGUUCAAUUCUCAGCACCA
rnacentral:tRNA from 1 species